UACGUAGGGUGCAAGCGUUGUCCGGAAUUAUUGGGCGUAAAGAGCGUGUAGGCGGCCAGGUAGGUCUGGUGUGAAAACUCGAGGCUUAACCUCGAGAUGUCAUCGGAAACCAUCUGGCUAGAGUCCGGAAGAGGAGAGUGGAAUUCCUGGUGUAGCGGUGAAAUGCGCAGAUAUCAGGAGGAACACCAAUGGCGAAGGCAGCUCGCUGGGACGGUACUGACGCUGAGACGCGAAAGCGUGGGGAGCAAACAGG
rnacentral:rRNA from 1 species